rnacentral:rRNA from 1 species
CACGUAGGGCGCAAGCGUUGUCCGGAAUUAUUGGGCGUAAAGAGCUCGUAGGUGGUUUGUUACGUCUGCUGUGAAAUCCUAGGGCUUAACCCUGGGCUUGCAGUGGAUACGGGCAGACUAGAGGUAGGUAGGGGAGAAUGGAAUUCCUGGUGUAGCGGUGAAAUGACGCAGAUAUCAGGAGGAACACCGGUGGCGAAGGCGGUUCUCUGGGCCUUACCUGACGCUGAGGAGCGAAAGCGUGGGGAGCGAACAGG